UAAUUGAAGAGUUUGAUCAUGGCUCAGAUUGAACGCUGGCGGCAGGCCUAACACAUGCAAGUCGGGCGGUAACAGGGAGAAGCUUGCUUCUCCGCUGACGAGCGGCGGACGGGUGAGUAAUGUAUGGGGAUCUGCCUGAUGGCGGGGGAUAACUACUGGAAACGGUAGCUAAUACCGCAUAAUGUCUGCGGACCAAAGCGGGGGACCU
rnacentral:rRNA from 1 species